rnacentral:misc_RNA from 1 species
UGGCAUACUUGAGGGCAAAUUUACUCACAUGUAUGGAAAUAUUGAUAAGUUUCGCCCCUCCCACUUGACCCAUGGUCUUCUGAACAUCACGUUAAUCCCUUGGUAGAACUUGAAUCUGAAUACAGCAGCAGGCUGUUAAAUUGGCAUACUUGAGGGCAAAUUUACUCACAUGUAUGGAAAUAUUGAUAAGUUUCGCCCCUCCCACUUGACCCAUGGUCUUCUGAACAUCACGUUAAUCCCUUGGUAGAACUUGAAUCUGAAUACAGCAGCAGGCUGUUAAAUUGGCAAGACUUGAGUUUAUGCAGGAAGCGUGGCUGAUGAAGCAUCUUCUUCCGUGUAAGUUGUUGCUAGAAUAUUACCUUUUUGGUGGGUGCCUUGCUCUUGGUGGUCAACAACAUUUGAUGAUGUUGGCCAAGAUCGUGCAGGAGAAGAUGGCAGACUUGAGUGAGCCAAUUUACUUGCUGGAUCAUAGUGUUCAGUUACCAGCAGCCAUUGCGAGAUCAAUGUACUUAUAAUUUGUUAAUCUUGUUUUCGAUGGAUUUAGUUGCAUUCCUAUGUACCCAUUAUUAGAUAAUCUGUUUAUUAUUAUUAUUAUUAUUAUUAUUAU